UGCCAGCAGCCGCGGUAAUACGGAGGGGGCUAGCGUUGUUCGGAAUUACUGGGCGUAAAGCGCGCGUAGGCGGCUUUGUAAGUUAGAGGUGAAAGCCCGGGGCUCAACUCCGGAAUUGCCUUUAAGACUGCAUCGCUUGAAUCAUGGAGAGGUGAGUGGAAUUCCGAGUGUAGAGGUGAAAUUCGUAGAUAUUCGGAAGAACACCAGUGGCGAAGGCGACUCACUGGACAUGUAUUGACGCUGAGGUGCGAAAGCGUGGGGAGCAAACAGGAUUAGAUA
rnacentral:rRNA from 1 species